GGGUCGUUGAUAAUCAACUUUCAUUCCCUUUAAAUAAUCAGAUAUUUUAAAAUCAAUAUAAAUUUUCUCUAAUUCUUACAGGAAUUCUCAUUACGGCGUAUUCUUCCUUGGUGUCUCCUGACCGUCCUGGCAGUGGCGAAGCUGAUCCUGUCCUCAUGGAUGAACCUCUGGUCAAAGAAAUUGCAGUGAAACGCAACUGUAGCCCAGCACAGGU